rnacentral:rRNA from 1 species
CCUACGGGAGGCAGCAGUGGGGAAUAUUGCACAAUGGGGGAAACCCUGAUGCAGCGACGCCGCGUGAGCGAUGAAGUAUCUCGGUAUGUAAAGCUCUAUUAGCAGGGAAGAAAAUGACGGUACCUGACUAAGAAGCCCCGGCUAACUACGUGCCAGCAGCCGCGGUAAUACGUAGGGGGCAAGCGUUAUCCGGAUUUACUGGGCGUAAAGGGAGCGUAGACGGUUUGGCAAGGCAGAUGUGAAAGGCUGGGGCUCAACCCCAGGACUGCAUUUGAAACUGUCAGGCUAGAGUGUCGGUGAGGUAGGCGGAAUGCCUAGUGUAGCGGUGAAAUGCGUAGAUAUUAGGAGGAACACCAGUGGCGAAGGCAGCCUGCUGGGCGAUGACUGACGUUGAGGCUCGAAAGCGUGGGGAGCAAACAGGAUUAGAUACCCCGGUAGUC